UACGAAGGGUGCAAGCGUUACUCGGAAUUAUUGGGCGUAAAGCGUGCGUAGGUGGUUUGUUAAGUCUGAUGUGAAAGCCCUGGGCUCGACCUGGGAACGGCAUUGGAAACUGGCUUACUAGAGUGCGGUAGAGGGGUGUGGAAUUCCCGGUGUAGCAGUGAAAUGCGUAGAUAUCGGGAGGAACAUCUGUGGCGAAGGCGACACCCUGGACCAGCACUGACACUGAGGCACGAAAGCGUGGGGAGCAAACAGG
rnacentral:rRNA from 1 species